rnacentral:tRNA from 1 species
UCCCUGGUGGCUCAGACAGUAAAGCGUCUGCCUACAAUGCAGGAGACCCAGGUUCAAUCCCUGGAUUGGGAA